UACGGGGGGGGCAAGCGUUGUUCGGAAUUAUUGGGCGUAAAGGGCUCGUAGGCGGUUUGUCGCGUCGGGAGUGAAAACACCGGGCUUAACUCGGUGCUUGCUUUCGAUACGGGCAGACUAGAGGUAUGCAGGGGAGAACGGAAUUCCUGGUGUAGCGGUGAAAUGCGCAGAUAUCAGGAGGAACACCGGUGGCGAAGGCGGUUCUCUGGGCAUGACCUGACGCUGAGGAGCGAAAGUGUGGGGAGCGAACAGG
rnacentral:rRNA from 1 species